GAAAUCACAGACGCGUUUUAAGUUCUUCAAGCCAUUUUAUAGCUGUUGGCCCGCCCUCAUUUAGUUUUGUUAAUCCUUCUUUGAAAAUUGUAAUGGGACACGACUCAGUGGAGUAGGUAAUUGCAUCAUCCUUGUCCCGUUCUAAUUUGGUUAAGCGUUGUCCAUGUGGCCCUUGUGCUAUCCCAGCCAGGGAUUUUUAUAAAUAGUUCCUUAAUCAGGUCUCAAUUAAAGGUUUCUGACGGUUUCCAGCGUCUCGCUCAUAGGCACUUAAUAGAUUCGCUUUGAGGUUCUGCAUGCCAUAUGGGAGCUCUAGACUUAAGGCGUAGUGGCGGAUGUUUAAGGAUAUCAAUUUGCAGUGGCAAAGUUGGCUAACUUUUUAUUUUACGUAGUAUCUUUGUUUUAUGCGAUAG